AUGGCGCACGACUGCUCAUGUCUGCGCUCUCUCCUACAGAGGUCUCUCUUUGGUGCAGCGCGCUGUGUGUGGUCUGGCGAGUGGCGGACCCCGACGGCGCGGUACCCGGCCCAACGCGAUACUUCUCAUCCCAGCGGGACCUUGGCGGAGACGAGGCUCUUCCUCCGGCAGGCAGCCCGCCCCGACGCUCAGCGAGGUCCGAGUUCGACGUGA
rnacentral:rRNA from 1 species